rnacentral:rRNA from 1 species
AUACGUAGGGAGCGAGCGUUGUCCGGAAUUACUGGGUGUAAAGGGUGCGUAGGCGGGACUGCAAGUCAGAUGUGAAGUUCCGGGGCUCAACCCCGGAGCUGCAUUUGAAAAUGUGGUUCUUGAGUGAGGUAGAGGUAAGCGGAAUUCCUAGUGUAGCGGUGAAAUGCGUAGAUAUUAGGAGGAACAUCGGUGGCGAAGGCGGCUUACUGGGCCUUUACUGACGCUGAGGCACGAAAGCGUGGGGAGCAAACAGGAUUAGAUACCCUGGUAGUCCACGCUGUAAACGAUGAUGACUAGGUGUGGGGGGACUGAACCCUUCCGUGCCGCAGUUAACACAAUAAGUCAUCCGCCUGGGGAGUACGGCCGCAAGGUUGAAACUCAAAUGAAUUGACGGGG